CGUUGUUCAGCAAUAGUACUUACGGAAAAUAGCUACGACGAGAAGGCACGAGAUGCCGUUUCUGGACUGGCAAGUCUGGCAGAGGUGCACGGUUAACGGAAGCACCGGUUGGCAAAAAAAAUGCAGAAGAAGAGCCAAGCGGAGAGUUGCACCAAUCAGAGGAAAGCCGGUGACGAACCGCCCAAUCUCUCCUGAUAGGACGUCGGAACGGAUGACCAAUUAGAUGUGCGAUAUCAAUGAUCCCGCCCAUGCAUCAGAUCAUUCGGGUUCGUGUGAUGCCAGAAACUAAAAGAAGGAGAGAAGAGGGAACACACCAGGAAAAGAAAAUGAGGGAAUAGCUCUUGCUGAAUCAACUCUUCAGUUUCUGGACCAAAGGCUGAGGACUUCCGAGAGGAUCUUAAGGUCAACUGGCCUAAAUCCGAGUGGAUCGUGUAGUGAGGUCAUCCAGGCAUUUAUUUGUUCAAGCAUAUGGUACAUAUAACUGUCUUGGUGUUACGAAUAUUUAUUGUACGUUCCUAUAUAUAAGUAAAAAAAUAAAUAAAUAACGUUUAUC